GAGGAAUUUGAGAUGGUUCACUCUUGUUGUAUAUGCACAUUAUAUACUUGUGCUAUAUUGUUUUUUGCAUUCUAGACCUGGUAGGUUGACAGAUGGACCUUAUACAUCAUAUGAUCUAAAUACUUUGCUCAAAGCUACAGCAGGUGAACGACGAGCCGUCGUAAUUGGUCAAGGAGAUAAACUUGUAGGGGAGGUUAGUAGGCUGGUAGUUGCUGAAGCUUGCAUACAAGCAUUGGACAUAGAUUUCACUCAAGGCCAAAUAUACGAAAUCAACUCGGUACCGGGUGAUGGACCAGGAAGUGACACAAAAAAAUGGCAA